ACCCAGAUAACGAGUCCUAAAUAGGACGAAACUCGCAUCCUGGAU
rnacentral:hammerhead_ribozyme from 1 species